ensembl:lncRNA
GAGGGAGUAGGGAAGGAGGUAGGAGGGAGUAGGGAAGGAGGUAGGAGGGAAGAGGUAGGAGGGAAGAGGUAGGAGGGAGGAGGUAGGAGGGAGUAGGGAAUGAGGGAGUAGGGAAGGAGGUAGGAGGGAGGAGGGAAGAGGUAGGAGGGAGUAGGGAAGGAGGUAGGAGGGAAGGAGGUAGGAGGGAAGGAGGUAGGAGGGAAGAGGUAGGAGGGAAGAGGUAGGAGGGAGGACAGAGUAGGGAAGGAGGUAGGAGGGAGGAGGUAGGACAGAAGAGGGAGGUAGUAGGAGGGAGGAGGGAAGAGGUAGGAGGAAAGAGGUAGGAGGGAGGGAGGACGGAGGGAGUAGGGAAGGAGGUAGGAGGGAGGAGGUAGGGUUGAAGAG